ensembl:lncRNA
GGAGAUGCUUGCCAGGAGGCCAUCUCUUUGCUGAACCAUACAUCCGACACUUCCUUGAUUUUCAAGAAGAUGAGAGAGACCUUUCAGCAUCGUCAGAAGCUCAUCAAUGAUCCUGACAAAAGUCUUGAUAUCCUGUCUAUCUUCCCAAGAUUCUUGGAUACAAAAGGAUUGGUGAAUCAAGACUUCACUCUCCUGUUUGAUGAUGAGAUAUCUACCAGGCUGCUUCAGAAAUGGGAUCCAAUCUUUAGGUAUCAAAUCAUCAAAGAGGCCAAGCAGCUCACCUCAACAGUAGAGUUGCGUCAAUUGGUGCAGUCAGCAGAGAGUCCACCAGGAAGUGAUCUUGAUGAGGCAGCAACCUUUGACCAAGACAUGGCCUCCCUGUUGUUACUGUUACAUCUCCUUCCGCCACCCCCAGGAGGACCAAAGUAUCAAAAAAUCAGCGCCUCUGAUGCUGUUGAGAGACUUGUAGUCUUUCAUAAGUCUUGCUGCAGUUUGGAAGACCAUCUCCAGAAUCAGCAGAGUCAGCAGCCAUACCUCCUGGCUGUUGGGCGCCAGAAGAGGAAGGUCGACAGCUUCUAUGUUGCCAUAGACAAGUGUCUCAUCCCCUGCCAGGCCAGCCGCUCCCUUGGGGCAUUUGAUGAGCUUUUUAAAGCUCAUUUUGUGUUCAAUGUGUCUUAUGAUGCUGCACUUGUGAAUUUCUACACAUUUCUGCAGACGACAGUAUACAAUAUUGAUAUGGGGAAAAUGAAGGAGUCCCCAAGAGUUUGUGACCUGAGAGCCAAAAUCCUUAACCAGGAAAUUCUUCUCACAACCUAAGUAAAAAUCAUUAAAAUGCUGACAUGUUUUUUGUGUAAGAGAGCUUAUCCCAGCAGUCAGCAGCUGAUUUCACAUUUAAGAGGUGAACAUGAUUAUUAUCCUGGACCUAAGUUUAAGUUAUUUUGUUGGCAGCCAGGCUGCAGGCUUCAGUUCCAAACUUAUGCAGGCUUUAGGAAGCACCUCAGUUUUCACAGCAAUGUUGACCAAAAUGAUCGAACUUCAGCCAUUGCUUGUUUUUCUAAUGACACAGUUUCACCUUUGGAGGACCAGUUUAAUUCCUCAUAUCUUCCUCACAGUUCUCCCAGUGUUCUUCCAGAGUCUAGUUCUUCCAGUGUUCUAGUGAGCAUUGAUUCAGUACUUACAAGGGAUUCAUCCAAAGAAAUGUGUGCAUCCAUUGUGGCCAAACUGCAGGGUAGUGGCCUUUCUAACAGUUUAGUAUCCUCACUUGUAGGCGAUUUGGAGGAAUUAACAAGUGAGCUUCGCUCAGAAGCAAAGCAGGCCAUUCUUUCUGCGUUACCCACAAAGGACUCCAGCAUAUCUUUAAUAAAUGAAUGUUUUGAAAAUUUUGAAAACCCUUUCACCAAUCUGAACACAGAAUGGAAACGAAAUAAAUACUUCAAUCUAAAAUGGGGAGUUGUAGAACCUAGAGAAAUAACACUUAGAGUGAGGUAUGACAUCAGGUGAAAUCAGAAGUCUGGUACUUAUGAUCAAGUACCUGUGAAGGAUACUUUUAUAUAUGUACCUAUUUUGGAGUCUUUGAAGUUCAUGUUUAGAAAUCCAGAGAUUUGUGUUUUCCUG